GAACGCUAGCUACAGGCUUAACACAUGCAAGUCGAGGGUCAGCAUCAUCAAAGCUUGCUUUGAUGGAUGGCGACCGGCGCACGGGUGAGUAACACGUAUCCAACCUGCCGACAACACUGGGAUAGCCUUUCGAAAGAAAGAUUAAUACCGGAUGGCAUAGUUUUCCCGCAUGGGAUAAUUAUUAAAGAAUUUCGGUUGUCGAUGGGGAUGCGUUCCAUUAGGCAGUUGGCGGGGUAACGGCCCACCAAACCAACGAUGGAUAGGGGUUCUGAGAGGAAGGUCCCCCACAUUGGAACUGAGACACGGUCCAAACUCCUACGGGAGGCAGCAGUGAGGAAUAUUGGUCAAUGGACGAGAGUCUGAACCAGCCAAGUAGCGUGAAGGAUGACUGCCCUAUGGGUUGUAAACUUCUUUUAUACGGGAAUAAAGUGAGCCACGUGUGGCUUUUUGUAUGUACCGUAUGAAUAAGGAUCGGCUAACUCCGUGCCAGCAGCCGCGGUAAUACGGAGGAUCCGAGCGUUAUCCGGAUUUAUUGGGUUUAAAGGGAGCGUAGGCGGGUUGUUAAGUCAGUUGUGAAAGUUUGCGGCUCAACCGUAAAAUUGCAGUUGAUACUGGCGACCUUGAGUGCAACAGAGGUAGGCGGAAUUCGUGGUGUAGCGGUGAAAUGCUUAGAUAUCACGAAGAACUCCGAUUGCGAAGGCAGCUUACUGGAUUGUAACUGACGCUGAUGCUCGAAAGUGUGGGUAUCAAACAGGAUUAGAUACCCUGGUAGUCCACACAGUAAACGAUGAAUACUCGCUGUUGGCGAUAUACAGUCAGCGGCCAAGCGAAAGCAUUAAGUAUUCCACCUGGGGAGUACGCCGGCAACGGUGAAACUCAAAGGAAUUGACGGGGGCCCGCACAAGCGGAGGAACAUGUGGUUUAAUUCGAUGAUACGCGAGGAACCUUACCCGGGCUUAAAUUGCAACUGACUGAACCGGAAACGGUUCUUUCUUCGGACAGUUGUGAAGGUGCUGCAUGGUUGUCGUCAGCUCGUGCCGUGAGGUGUCGGCUUAAGUGCCAUAACGAGCGCAACCCUUACGGGUAGUUACCAUCAGGUUAUGCUGGGGACUCUACCCGGACUGCCGUCGUAAGAUGUGAGGAAGGUGGGGAUGACGUCAAAUCAGCACGGCCCUUACGUCCGGGGCUACACACGUGUUACAAUGGGGGGUACAGAAGGCAGCUACACGGCGACGUGGUGCUAAUCCCGAAAGCCUCUCUCAGUUCGGAUUGGAGUCUGCAACCCGACUCCAUGAAGCUGGAUUCGCUAGUAAUCGCGCAUCAGCCACGGCGCGGUGAAUACGUUCCCGGGCCUUGUACACACCGCCCGUCAAGCCAUGAAAGCCGGGGGUACCUAAAGUACGUAACCGCGAGGAGCGUCCUAGGG
rnacentral:rRNA from 1 species